GUGCUCGCUUCUGCAGCACAUAUACUAAAAUUGGAAUGAUACAGAAAAGAUCAGCAUUGCCCCCUGCACAAGGAUGACACACAAAUUCGUGAAGCAUUCCAUAUUUUU
rnacentral:snRNA from 1 species